UACGAAGGGGGCAAGCGUUGUUCGGAAUUACUGGGCGUAAAGCGUGCGCAGGCGGUUUUGUACGUCUGUCGUGAAAUCCCCGGGCUCAACCUGGGAACUGCAUCCGAAACUGCCUUGCUAGAGUAUGGGAGAGGGAAGUGGAAUUUCCGGUGUAGCGGUGAAAUGCGUAGAUAUCGGAAGGAACAUCAGUGGCGAAGGCGACUUCCUGGACCAAUACUGACGCUCAGGUGCGAAAGCGUGGGGAGCAAACAGG
rnacentral:rRNA from 1 species